rnacentral:rRNA from 1 species
CGGGGACGGGUGAGUAACGCGUGGGGAACCUGCCUCAUACAGGGGAAUAACAGUUAGAAAUGACUGCUAAUGCCGCAUAAGCGCACAGUGCCGCAUGGUACAGUGUGGAAAACUCCGGUGGUAUGAGAUGGCCCCGCGUCUGAUUAGGCAGUUGGCGGGGUAACGGCCCACCAAACCGACGAUCAGUAGCCGACCUGAGAGGGUGACCGGCCACAUUGGGACUGAGACACGGCCCAAACUCCUACGGGAGGCAGCAG